rnacentral:rRNA from 1 species
CCCGCUGAACUUAAGCAUAUUACUCAGCGGAGGAAAAGAAAACAACCGUGAUUCCCUCAGUCAGCGGCGAGCGAAGAGGGACCGAACUCGUUGCCGAAUCGGGUCUUACAGGGCCUUGAGUUGUGGCAAAAACGCUGCUCUGUGAUUGGUGCGGGAAUGGCGAAAUUCAAGCGCAAAGCAAACCCAUUGCUGAAUACAACCCUUCAUGUGAGUAUUGAGCCAAAGAAGGUGUUAGCCCAUUGAGCCAUGAACCCGAGCACCUCAUUGAGUAGAACUAAGAGAGUAACACUGUUUGGGAAUGCAGUGCCAAGCGGCAGGUAUGUGUCUGCCAAAGUUAAAUACAGAGUAGGAAGACCGAUAUCGAACAAGUAGCGUGAGCGAAAGUUUGAAAAGCACUUUGGAAAGAGAGUGACAUAGAACCUGAAGUCGUGACAAUGAUAAUGAAAGUGCCUCCAUUUCAACGGUCAAAACCAACCUUACAGCAUUAUCUCGGUGGUGUCAUACCCGCCGGGCAACCAAAGUGCAAGAUUGAGGGUAAUGGUGAAAUGGGCGGAGAUAAAGCUUGUGACACUGCUUGCAGCGAGUUGCUUGUCUUCUCCGUGAUGCUCAAUGUUGACGAAGGAAAUGGGGUGCCUUCACCCGUCUUGAAACACGG